rnacentral:rRNA from 1 species
UAGUCUGCAACUCGACUACAUGAAGCUGGAAUCGCUAGUAAUCGCAGAUCAGAAUGCUGCGGUGAAUACGUUCCCGGGUCUUGUACACACCGCCCGUCACACCAUGGGAGUCGGAAAUGCCCGAAGCCGGUGACCCAACCAAAAGGAGGGAGCCGUCGAAGGCAGGUCUGAUAACUGGGGUGAAGUCGUAACAAGGUAAC